GAUGAAGAACGCAGCGAAAUGCGAUAAGUAAUGUGAAUUGCAGAAUUCAGUGAAACAUCGAGUCUUUGAACGCACAUUGCGCCCCCUGGUAUUCCGGGGGGCAUGCCUGUCCGAGCGUCAUUGCCGCCCUCAAGCACGGCUUGUGUGUUGGGCCCCCGCCCCCCGGCUUCGGGGGGCGGGCCCGAAAGGCAGCGGCGGCACCGCGUCCGGUCCUCGAGCGUAUGGGGCUUCGUCACCCGCUCUGUAGGCCCGGCCGGCGCCCGCCGGCGACCCCAAUCAAUCUUUCCAGGUUGACCUCGGAUCAGGUAGGGAUACCCGCUGAACUUAAGCAUAUCAAUAAGCGGAGGA
rnacentral:misc_RNA from 1 species